AUCAGCCCCUUCCAGUAUUAGAAGCCAGAAUCAUUGUUGGUUUGUAGUGCAAAUGUAGAACAUAUGCCCGGUUCACGCAUUCCAGCUAGCCAGGUUUGGAUUUACAUUCGUGACAAGAUAAUCGUUCUCACAGAUAAGCUACCAAAUAUGAUCCUUUCUCAUUUUCCAUCUCACUGGAGAUUCAGAGUGUGAUCUUGAAAGCAGGCUCUACAGCCCUGACUAUUUUCUAUGAAAGGGAAAAAGGCAUGCACGAUUUGGCUUGCCUCUGCUUGCUGAUUGGGAUUUGACUUUCCA
rnacentral:lncRNA from 1 species